AGAUAUUAGUAAAACAAUUACAUAACUUUGUCAAAGUUAACUUACAGGUUGAACCCCGUAUAUCUUA
rnacentral:tRNA from 2 species